CGAGAUCUUUAGCAUAUCAGAUAUGAAUACUAACGGCUGUCUCCAACUUUCAAUAAUCAAUUUCAAUAAGUUAAAAUCAACAAUAUACAACUUCAUAUAAAAUGAAUUACAUGUAUAUAUACGGUCAUUACCCAUAAUUAGUCAAACCUCAAUUUAGGAAAUAAAUUGCAAAAGAAGAAAAACAACAGUAAUAGCAUCCCAAUACUCUCGACUUCCUCAAAUCGAUUAACAAUUACAACAAACACAAAGUUGUUAUUAUCAAAUCACAAAGAUUUAUUAUAUGGAGCAAAUCAUAAUCAUGUCUAUUACGUCCCAAUACUUCAGAUUGACUCUAAAAAAACUUCAUAAGUCCAAUCCACUUUCUAACAGUAACACAACAUAAAAGCAUUUUCGAUUCAAGACAAACAACUGCAUUCAACAACUAAUUUGCAUUGAUUCAAGUUGAGAUUACAAUUUUGAGGAUUGAGUUGUACCUUCGUAUGCGAGGAAAAGGAAAAUGAAGCAAUAUGAGGAAAAUGGAGCUUAGUAACAGAGAAAAUAGCAAAUCAACAGAGAUUCCAGUGACUCCAAUUUCAAUCCAAAAACAAACUUGAAAUCCUAGAGAUCAAACCAAGAGUAUGGCAGAAACUAGAACCUAUUCGAAUUUCUUUCUUGUUUUUUUGUUUUGAAACGUCGAUCUGCCUCCUCUGUUUCUAUGUUUUCUCGUUCCCUGAACGGCUGACUUAGAAGCGGUUCUCGGCGGAUUUUUAGAAGAUGACUAAUGGGGAAAAAAACUUUAGGGGUGUAGGGAUUUUUAGGUCUUAGGUCUAAGGGUGAAGGUCUGUUGGAGAGGAGAUGAAGACGGAAGAAGAAAGGGUGUGCCGUUCUUCCUUUUUUCAAAGAGAGGAGGUUCUGAUUUUUUCUAGGAUUUCUUUUAGGGGGUCUAUCCGGUUCUAACUUAGAGAGAGGAAGAGGUGUUUUAUUAGAUGAUAUCUAUUGGGCCAAAUGGGUUGUUGGGGUGGAUUUUGAGGGAAUUGGGCCAUGAAAUUGGCCAGUAUGAAUUUAGACAAAAAAAAGCCUUUCCCCCUUUUCUUUCUUUUUUUUCCUUUCCCAAAUAACUCAAAAUCUAACUUAAAUCUCAUUAGCAAAUUCUAUUUAUCUAAUAACAAAUGCAUGAAAUAUUUUGUUUGAUUUUUUAUGUAUUAAUUCUAACAAUUAAAGAAUAACUAAUUUCAAAAAAUGCAAAUUAAACCUAAGAUGACAUGAAAUUAAAAUGUGAUAAAUUUUUAUGGUUUUUCUAUGAUUUUAAAAUAUUAACCAUGCAUGGAAUGCAACUAAAUAAAGAAAAACUCCUAAAAUUCAUUAAAAUUAUUUUUGUUCUAUUUCUAGGAGUUAUUUUCAUGUAGGGCAAAAAUUAGGUGCUCACAACUGCCUAUCUUUGCUCGGAAACAUGAAGAGUUUUCGGGAAAAGAUAAAGUGAUCAAAUACGGGCAAUUUUUUCCCGUUUGAAACUCCAUGGGAACCAUUUGUUUUGAAAAUGUCUUACCGAACCUUACUUCGGAGGUUGCCUACAUAUCCUUGGCUAUAAAGGAAUCAGGUCAGUGUAGUUCUGGAAGUUUUAGUAGCUGGGACUAUCGAAAAACUGUGAUUUCACUAAUUUACUGUUGUUUACUGCUGCAGAGCUCCUUAUUACACCAAAAUCAAAAAUGAAAAAGACUAACUAAGCCUAUCAGCUACGAGUUACAAGAUUCUUAUCUAUGAGUCUUUUGAAACUUGAUCUUGUGUCUUGGUUGGUUGUUCAUUCGGACUCUGAUCUGAAUCUUGAUGCUUGCUAGCUGCAGUUGAUUCUUCUUCAGCUUUUCGGAUCAAGGCGGGACAUGCAAAGCUUGUGACUUCAAUCAUGUCUUGAGCAAUCUACAUCUUUUCUCCGCUUCUACAUUUUGAGUUCACUUCUUUUUCUUUUCUUCUUUUUCUUUUAUUCUGGAUUGGGACUUCUUCUUUUGGUUGUCUCGAACCCUGUGUCUCGAGGUAUAACCUGCUCAGACACCAAAAAAACAAACGGAAUUUUUUUGCCUAAGUUUUUACUAGAAAAAUUUCGUGAGUUAUUUGUAACCAAAACUCUAUACUACUUCAUUGUUGACAGCAAUAAAAUCAGGAUUGUGUAUCCUUGAGAAAAUGAGAUUAAGGAGUGAAAACCCUAUAUCUAAAAUGAAAUCAACUAGUGAUUGGAGACCCUAUGUUGGAAAAUUAUCAACUAGGAAGUGGUGACACUAUGUUGGCAUCAGGUUAUACUGGCAUCAACUAGAUAGUGGAGACCUUAUAUUGGCACCAACUGGGGAGUGGUAACCCUAUGUUGGCAUCAACUAGGGAGUGGUGACCCUAUGUUGGCAUCAGAUUAUGGUGGCAUAAGGUUAUCCAGGCAUCGACUAGGGAAUAGAGACCCUAUAAUGCAUCAACUAGGGAGUGGGACCCUAUGUUGGAAAAAUCAUCAGGUUAUGCCGGCAUCAACUAGGGAAUGAGACUCUGUGUUGGAAAAGUAAUCAGGUUAUGUUGGCAUCAACUAGGGAGUGAGACCCUAUAUUGGAAAAGUUAUCAGGUUAUGCUGGCAUCAAUUAGGGAGUGAGACCCUAUGUUGGAAAAGUUAUUAGGUUAUGCUGACAUCAACUAGAGAGUGAUGACCCUAUGUUGGCAUUAACUAGGAAGUGGUGACCCUAUGUUGGAAAAGCGACUAGGGAGUGGAGACUUUGUAUCUAGAACAAAAUCAACUAGGGAUUGGAGACCAUAUGUUGGAAAAAACGUAGUUAGGGAUUGGAGGCCCUAUACUAGUAUGAUUUUGAACUUUUCUUCUUUUCAUUUCAUCAUUUUUUUAUUUAAGAAAAUGAGUAAAAUGCAGGAAAGAAUUUGGAGGUCACUUCCCUUUUGGAUUGAUUAUUGCUGCAGAGCUAUUUAGUCUCUGCGUGGUUUCCUUUUGUUGCACCUGCUUCUUGCAAGGUUGCUUUGAAUUACACUUGUUUCUUGUUUUUCUAACAAAGAAUGAUUUGUCAGUUUGAAACAAUGGUAGGUUUUGUGGCCUUGAGCGUUUCAGUCACUUGAUCUCGGCCUUUUCAACUACAACUGGUUGUUUCCUGAAUACCGAUUGCAUUUUUGACCCUGGAAAACUCCUAGCUUUUCCAGACUUUGCAUUUUCAACUUUAUUUUCCCUUUGUAAGCCUUUCCCUUCUUUUUUUUUUCUUCUUCUAUUUUUUUCUUUUUUCUUUUUUUUACUUUGGAGCAUUGGGGAACUUUUGGCUCCUCAAACUUUGUCGCAACGGCUAGUCGCAUGAGACUUAACCUUUUCCAACUUUGUUUCGCCUUUAUAGGCGUUUCAUUUCUGGCUUCUUUCUUCCAACUUCAAUUUCAGAGCAUUUGGGGUACCUUGGAUUUUCUGACUUUUGCGGAGAUAGUUAGCCACGUGGGACUCAACCUUUUUAACUUUAUUUUCCUUUUAUAUGCACUUCAAUUUGAUUUUCUCCUUCCAAGAGUUUUGAUUUUGAAGCAUCAGCUGUCAUGGCCAGUCGAGGUCGACUUGAUGCCCCUGGCGAGGCUGGGUGCCUUUUUGCAUAUUAUCUCGUAUCAAAUGAAAGCCCUAUAAAUCAAUCUUACCAUUUUCUUUGCCUUAGUUUCGGAAUAUAGUUAGAUCGAAAGGGUCUCAAAGAAAAAUAAACAAUGGAAUGGGCAAUGAAUUUAAACAAAAGGUAUCCCUUUCGGGAAAGGACAGAAGGACUUAUCUUGAGUACAUUCAGACUUCAAUGAACAUGACAUGCCUUUUGGACUGGAUGUCUGAUCUGUGCAAACCGUCCCACUCUCAGAAAUUCAUCACAACUUUUGCCUCGAAACCGAGAAACCUUGCCUAGGAAUGUGUCAAUGUUAGUGACUGAAGAUCUUCUUUUUCGAUCAGUGGAUGCCCUUUGCGGGUUUUCACGAGUUGACCUCUCUCGUUUCUCUUCUAACCAUCGCCUUAUAGUGCUCUUUGCGAGCUUUUACUAACAAGACUCUCAUUUUCACUUUCUCUGCUUACCAUCGCCUUACGGUGCCCGUGUGAGUUUUCACCAAUAAGACUCUCUCAUUUUAUUUCUCUCGUUUGAUUGCAUCAGAUCCAAGUAAUUGUGCUCUCUGAUCCUUUUCUCAUCGAUUGAUCUGAACGGCUUGAACAUGAUUUGGGUAAAAAGAAUUUGGAUUGAAUUACAACCUUGGAACUUUUCAGGAGAAACCAUCGCCAAACCAUUAUAACGUCUACCCAUUUUCACUUUUGGUGAAUUUUUGGAUUUUUAUUUUGGUGUGACUGAAUCCCAGAGAGAGGCUGCCUAUGUAUCCUUUCAGAAUCAAGUCGAACGUAGUUUAGGGAACUUUGUUUUUGAUUUUCUUCUGUUUUUUUCUUUUCUCUUUCAUUUUCCUUUCUUUUUUUUUUCAUUUUUCAUUUCAUUUUUUUUUCGAUAGCAUUUUCAAGUUCCAAAGAGGGUAACCAAAGGAAGGUAACCGGCUCAAAGUGUUUGCAAAUGGUUGAUAGUGUUUAAGUAAUGAGAAUAAAAGCCUUCUUCAUCUCAACCGGAGAACACUAAUGUUAUAUAGAGGAUCCAACAUAGUACCUUUUGACUGCAUUUAUAUUGAGAGUUGUUUCAGGGACAUUUUCUUCGAUGUGUCCCAAGUACAACAUACUCUUUUGGUAGUACUCUUGUUGCAAUAUAUGAACCUUUUCAAUCUGGAAUCAAUUUUUCCUCAGUUGUUCCAACUGUUUGUUAUAUUUCCUUAAACUUAUCUUCAUUGCGAUCUAAUUCUUGAUUCAUUAUUUCAAGGUCUGAUAGCAUUUUAGGAUUUGGGCAUGAAGCCCGCAAGCAUAUCAUGUUAUUGAAAUCUGCAUUUAACAAAACUGAAAAGAGAAUAAGAAAAGUGAUAAGAUUAAGAAAAGAGACAUUCCUGGAUAAGGACAAUGAAAUAUUAAUUUCAUUUGAUUUUUUUUAUUUUGAUGAUUUUUUUGAAUUUUAAAAGAUAGAAGGGUUAACAUCGGAAAGUAAGACAAUAAAGUAAAACAUCCGGAUCACACCUGAGAUAAUCCGGUCACAGAAAGAAUAGCAAGACUGGCUACCGAAAUUCCUGUCUGAUAGGGAACUUUCAGGCUUAGCGACCGUUUUUGGCUUUUCUUCCGUCUAAGGCAAUGGCUGCGAUAGCGUUCAAUUCUGGAUCGAAUUAGUCAUUGUAAGCAGGCAACAGAUUGUUCGUCACAUCAGGAGCCUCUUUGUCCCGAAGAACGAUUCUUUCAGAUUCGAUCAAAUCUUCAAUUGCUCUUUUGAGGGUCCAAUAGUCCUCUGUACUGUGUCCCGAUGCUCUAGAGUGAUAUUCACAUCUAGCAUUAGCUUGGUGCGAGGCGGACUCGGUUGGCCAGGUUGGGGCCACUGGCUAUAGCAGACCUCGCCUGACUAGCUUUUGGAACAAACCCGAGUAUGAUUCACCAAUAGGGGUGAACUAAUUCCUUUUGAAAGGCUCUCUUGGGCGAGGAUUGUACCAGAGAAUAUUUGAUUGGGGAUUUAUGGAGCUUGGUAAGGAUGGAUAUUUCUGGGAGAUGAAACUCGGUUUUGUGUAUAAUGUUGUGGCCACGUGCAAGGUUGCGCGUUCAUCACCGCAUACCAACAAAACCAAUCACCUGAACAGAACCUGACUAAUUUUCUCACAUUACAACCUUUUUAAUUUUGAGACAUUUAAUAUAUAGGAAAUCGCACGUUGGGAUGCAAUGCACCUAACAGUUAAGCGCUUCUACCAUGUGUUUAAACGGUUGCAUGUUUCAUCCCGACCUUAACUAACCCUUUCAGUAUGUACCUCUUUUCUUUUAGUUCUACCUCUGUUUAAUCACUCUUGAUUUUUUUUCAUUUCGUUUCUGUCGCGUUUUUAAUUUUUGACACUCUCUUUUCUUUUCUUUUUUGUUUAUGUCACUCUUUUAUUUUUGUGUCACUCUUUUUUUUCCUAUUUUUGUCACUCUCUUUUUUUCUUUUCUUUUUUUUUCACUCUUUUCUUUUCUUUUUUUUUCACUCAAUUUUUUUCUCUCUUUUUUUUUCAAUUUAUUUUUCACUCAAUUAAUUUUAUGGCUAUGUUCGAAUUCGGUGGGAAUUGCUUACGUAUCAUGACGCCGCAUGAAUCAGAUCUCGCGUAGUUUGGGAAGAUUGAGAAUGGAGUAAAAAAAGCUAACUCUUUUUUUUGUGUAUUUUUAUAAAACUCAAACCAUGAAAGCUUUAAGAAAAAAAAAUAUAUAUUUUUUGUUUUUUUUUGAAUGUUCGAAAGAAAUACUUUAAAAGAAUAAAGGAAAUACUUUUUUUUGGAUUUUUGAUUUUGAUUUUUUUUUUGAAAGAAAGACUUCUAAAAUACAAUUUCUUUUAAUUUGAACUUUGGGAAUUUCAAAAGUAAAAAGAAAAUAUUUUUUUUGAAAGUUUAUUUGUUUUCUCUUUUUCUAAAGAAGAAAGAAUUUUUGGCUCUUGGAUGUUGCCUCUAAAUUUUUGAAAAAGAGACUUUUUAAGAAAAAUAAUUUGGAUUUCUGAGUUUUUUUUGUUUUUAAAUUUACAAAAGUACUUCUAAAGAAAAACAAAAAUAUUUUAGGACUUCAAUUUUUCAACUUUUUUUUAAAGAAAGACUUUUAAACAAGGAAAAGAUUUUUUGUUAUUCUUUUUUUUUUGAAUUUUUUGAAAAAAAUACUUCAAAAUAAAGGAAACCCAUAUUUUGGAUUUUGAUUUUUUAAAAUUUCUUUUUUUUUUCGUAUGAAAAACUUCAGAAAGAAGAAAACUACUUUUUGACUUUAUUUUUUUUUUUGAAUUUUCUAAGGAAAUACUUCUAAUGAAGGAAUUAAAGGAAAUUAUUUUUGGAUUUUUUAAAAAUUAGGGCUAGAACCGAUGAGGUUUGCCUGCGUAUCUCGCAUCCAGUGAGAAUCAGACCCGCGUAGUUCAGUCACUUUUGACGGAACAAGGGAAAUAUGUCACUUGAAAAUUUUGGCUCAUUUUGAAAUGACUUUUCUUUUUCUUUUUUUUUCCAGAAUUUCGGCAGAGUUUCAGGAUUUUUAAAUACCUACCUCACUCUUGUUUUUUUUUUAAUUUUCUUUCCCUAUUCUAGAAGCUAGUCAACAUGCAAGCCGAAACAAACAAAUAUGCAAGUAGCACGUAAGAUGCAUCAAGAUGGUCUUUUUAAAUUGGGUACACAUAUCCUAGACGGACUCAACCCCUGUGUUGAAUCCCCAAAGUCAAAUGCACAUGAUGCAAAUAAAUAUUUCUACUAGGAAUCUCGCAUGAGGCUAUGUUAUUCUAGGUUUAAAAACCCAUGUAUAUUGCUCUAGACCGGGCUUACCCGAUCGGACAACUCAAGCCGGGAAGGGGGGAGGGGAGGGGAGGCAAUGUACCGGUAACCAAAAGGCCAUUCGGCUUUGUAACUGAUCCGAACCUAGUUCUAAAUUAGGGUAUGAUACUAACAGAAAAGAAGUCACGCCAACGUGCAUUUCCUAGAAGAUUUAGAAGAAUUAGAGAGAAGAAGGAUUUCACAACAGUUUAUAUACAGUUCAAAUAAUAUCAAAGCGAUAAAAUGUAGCAUUUAACACAUAAGGCGCAAACACGUAAAAAAAAUAAGAUAAUAAUUAAAAGCCAACUAUCACAGUCAUUCUAAGCUCCAAUUCUGAACCUUGAACAAGAGAUUCUGGGAUCGGUUCCCCAGCGGAGUUGCCAGAGCUGUCAGACCUCCUUUUUUCUCGAAGGGAUCGGGAUUUUUUCCAAUUUAAGCAAUAUUAAUCGAAAUGAGAUUAUUUAUUUAAUUUCAGAGUCAUCACUUGGGAUAAUUUAUGGUGUCCCAAGUCACCGUUUUUUUAAAUCCCAAAUCGAGGAAAGUGAUUCUUAUUUAUGGUCUGCAAACACAGAAGACCGGGUAAUGAAUUCUGUUAACCCGGGAGAAGAUGUGUGGCACUCCCGAGUUCCGUGAUUUUAGCAUGGUCGCUCAACUAUUAAUAAUUGGCCUAAUUAUCUGAUUAAUUACAUGUUUUAAACCUAUUGUGCAUUUUUAACUUUAUAACUGCUUUUAUUUAUUUAUGAAAUUAUUUCUAGAACAAGUCACGAUGUCGUAUAGUUGUCGUUUUGGUACACAUCGCAAGUCGCGCCACAUGAAAUGCACCCAAAAUUUACGACAUGUUUAUUUUAAUAUUAAUCAAAGUUAUGGUCGGGUCACAUGAAAUGCACACCCGAAUUGGAGAUUACGUAUUGCGACCAUGACAUGGGAACCGUACCCAUGACCACAAUAAUUUAUUAAUCGCGCCUAAAUCAAGCUACGAUGUUCAUUAGUAAUUUUCUUAAACUACUUUGAGAUUAUUAUAAGGGUCCGAAAAUUACGGGACUUAUUUAUAAUUAGCCAGUAAAUCAUGUAAUUCAUGUUGUUCUAUGAAAUGCUUGAUAAAUUGGAAGUUAUGACAAUUGAACAGUAGCCUCAAUUCAAGAAAUGAGCUCACAUUAAUAAAUGACUUAACAAUUUUGGGUUGGAUAUUUCUUUUCAAAUUAACAUUGAUUAGAGGAAGUUAACUAAUAUAAUCAUGAGCUACAUUUGUUUGAAUGCUCACACGAGAUCUUUAGCAUAUCAGAUAUGAAUACUAGCGGCUGUCUCCAACUUUCAAUAAUCAAUUUCAACAAGUUAAAAUAAAAAAUUAUACAACCUCAUAUAAAAUGAAUUACAUGUAUAUAUACGGUCAUUACCCAUAAUUAGUCAAAUCUCAAUUUAGGAAAUAAAUUGCAAAAGAAGAAAAAUAACAGUAAUAACACCCCAAUACUCUCGACUUCCUCAAAUCGAUUAACAAUUAAAACAAACACAAAGUUGUUAUUAUCAAAUCACAAAGAUGUAUUAUAUGGAGCAAAUCAGAAUCAUGUCGAUUAUGUCCCAAUACUUCAGAUUGACUCUAAAAAAACUUCACAUGUCCAAUCCCCUUUCUAACAGUAACACAACAUAAAGGCAUUUUCGAUUCAAGACAAACAACUGCAUUCAACAAUUAAUUUGCAUUGAUUCAAGUUGAGAUUACAACUUUGAGGAUUGAGCUGUACCUUGGUAUGCGAGGAAAAGGAAAAUGAAGCAAGAAGAGGAAAAACAAGCUCAACAACAGAGAAAAUAGCAAAUCAACAGAGAUUCUAGUUACUCCAAUUUCAAUCCAAAAACAAACAUGAAAUCCCAGAGAUCAAACCAAGAGUAUGGCAGAAACUAGAACCUAUUCAAAUUUCUUUCUUAUUUUUUGUUUUGAAACGCCGAUCUGCCUCCUUUGUUUCUGCUUUUUCUAGUU
rnacentral:lncRNA from 1 species